rnacentral:rRNA from 1 species
UACGGGGGGGGGCAAGCGUUGUUCGGAAUUACUGGGCGUAAAGGGCGCGUAGGCGGUCGUGUAAGUCGGAUGUGAAAGCCCUGGGCUUAACCUGGGAACUGCAUUCGAAACUGCACGGCUAGAGUAUGGGAGAGGGAAGCAGAAUUUCCGGUGUAGCGGUGAAAUGCGUAGAUAUCGGAAGGAAUACCAAUGGCGAAGGCAGCUUCCUGGCCCAAUACUGACGCUCAGGUGCGAAAGCGUGGGGAUCAAACAGG